AUCACUCUGGCAGAAAGAUGCACUAGAUUUAGGAUCUAUUUAUAUAAAGGGUUAGCUUUAUGGGUGAUA
rnacentral:tRNA from 1 species